rnacentral:rRNA from 1 species
AAGAGUUGGGCCUGCUCAGUGAUGAAAUUUAACAGCUGCGGUAUUUUAACUGUACUAAGGUAGCAUAAUAGUUUGCCUUAUAAUUUGAGGCUGGAAUGAAUGGUUUGACGAAGGUUAAUCUGUCUCUAUCUUAUUUAAUAGAAAUUAAUUUUUAAAGUGAAAAAGCUUAGAUUUUUUAAAGGGACGAGAAGACCCUAUUGAGCUUGUAAUUUUAUUUUUAUUAUAUUAUAUAAUAUAACAUGAAUUUUAAUUGGGGUGAUUAAGGAAUAAGGUAAUAAAUAAUGUAGUAACUUCCUUAAAAUUAAUAUAUAUAUUUAUGAAUUAACCAACUAUUUUGUUGCUUAUAAUAUAGUUACCAUAGGGAUAACAGCGUAAUUUAUUUAGAGAGUUCUUAUUAAAAAAUGAGAUUGCGACCUCGAUGUUGGAUUAAAGUAACCUUAGGGUGUAGAAGCUCUAGUUGGUAAAUCUGUUCGAUUUUUAAAACUUUACAUGAUCUGAGUUCAGACCGG